GUUCAACAUGGGAGUGUCAUUUGAGAAGGAGCAAAGAUUUCAUAAGUGGGGGGUGGGAGCAGGACUCUGGAUAGGGUAUAAGAAGUGGGAGCAAUUUAGGGCUCUUCAUCCAACUUUGGUGCAUUCAAACUCUCUUGUUUAUCACCAACAAAGGUUGCCACCAGAAGCCCUUCAGAAUGUCCAAGCCCAAGACUGAGUUCCAACAACUUGCUGAACAAUACAUAGACAUCUACCACAGGUACUCUGGGAAUUCUGACAGCCUUGACAAGCAGGCAUUUAAGAAGAUGCUGGAUGAGCAGUUUCCUGACAUUGAUGAGUCUCCCUUGAAGAAACAAAAGAGAGACCAGCUCUUCAAGGAGGCGGACAUAAACAAGGACGGCAAACUGAGUUUUACUGAAGUGGCCCACUUGAUCGCAAAAUUUAUCGCUGAAACUCAUGACAAACUCCACAAGUAAGAAGGGCGUCCCCUUGGCCACUGGGAAAAUGGCCCAGCUCAUCCUCCAGGAGAUGGUUCUCAAGGGCGUGUUGGAUGCUAACCUUCCAAACAUACACAAACCCUUUUCCGCAUUCACUAUCUUGGAAUCUAAUGCUUUG